rnacentral:rRNA from 1 species
GGCCCGGGGGGCAACCCCUGAUCAGCCCUGCCGCGCGGGCGAAGAAGGCCCUCGGGCCGUAAAGCCCCCCCGGCGGGGACGAAAUCGCGGGGGUGAGAAGCCUUCGUGGAUGACGGUACUCGCAGAAGAAGCACCGGCUAACUACGUGCCAGCAGCCGCGGUAAUACGUAGGGUGCGAGCGUUAAUCGGAAUUACUGGGCGUAAAGCGUGCGCAGGCGGCCCUUUAAGUCAGGUGUGAAAGCCCUGGGCUUAACCUAGGAAUGGCGCUUGAAACUGGGGGGCUAGAGUGCGGCAGAGGGGGGUGGAAUUCCUGGUGUAGCGGUGAAAUGCGUAGAGAUCAGGAGGAACACCGAUGGCGAAGGCAGCCCCCUGGGUCGACACUGACGCUCAGGCACGAAA